rnacentral:rRNA from 1 species
UACGGAAGGGGCGAGCGUUGUUCGGAAUCACUGGGCGUAAAGCGCGCGUAGGCGGCUUUUGCAAGUGCGGCGUGAAAGUCCUGGGCUCAACCUGGGGACGGCGCUGCGGACUGCAUGGCUGGAGUCCGGAAGAGGGUGGUGGAAUUCCGAGUGUAGAGGUGAAAUUCGUAGAUAUUCGGAGGAACACCGGUGGCGAAGGCGGCCACCUGGUCCGGCACUGACGCUGUAGCGCGAAAGCGUGGGGAGCAAACAGG